rnacentral:ncRNA from 2 species
UUCCGCGCGUCAGGAGAGAGCUGCCCGCGCCACCAAGUGUCAGGGCAGCCGCCGAAGGCGCAGAGCCGCUGAUUGCAGCGGUUUGAACGCUCAGGCAAAAGGACUGACAAACGUCU